rnacentral:SRP_RNA from 1 species
GCCAGGCGUGGUGGCUCACGCCUGUAAUCCCAGAACUAUUAGGAGGCCGAGACGGGUGGAUCACCUGAGGUCAGGAGUUCGAGACCAGCCUGACCAACAUGGCGAAACCCCGUCUCUA